rnacentral:lncRNA from 1 species
GCAAAGAGGGCAACGAGAGCAAAGGGAUUGGACCACGUACCACAACGCAGCCCCUAGCUCAAGCCAACAAGACCAGGGCAACGUGUCCCCUUAACUACCUCGACAAGUGACAUGCUCUUAUUGACGAAUUUGGCUCACCAAUCCUAGAAUAUGAAAAUGGAGAGAGGGAGGGAAUUCUUCCAAACAUAUUCUGGCAUUUUCCCAACUUUUUUUCCUUUCACAUCCGCUCUUUAUUUUCUGCAUUUCUUGGUUUCUGUGCCACCAGAUAGACCAUCCAAUCACUGUAAUAAUGGGGGAAGAUCUUCUGCUGAGAAUAUCAAAGCCUUUGUUAUAAAGCUUCCUAAAAGCACCACUUUGUUGAGGCCGAAUAUCUCCCCUUUUUCUUUUUCCCCAACCACUGUUUUUUUUAGGAAAUUUUAACGAAAAAUUUACGAUACUGUUUACUUUAACAAAAAAUUAUAUUUUUAUACUAAAAAGUUAAUCAUAAUACUAAUAAUUUUACUUUUUUUUCCUAUCUCAUUCACACCCCCAACGAUUUUUCUAGUAAAACAAAUAAUUUUAUGGGAAAAUUUAUCAUUGGGCAAGAAAGUUUUAUAUAAAGUGAAGAACAGGAAGGUGUUGCUUCAGCUGAUGUUCCUUGGUUUUAAAAGUACGUAACCAAGACGAAAUAAAUAAUAGGAAUUAAUUUUCUUAAGCACCGAGUAUGUGUGUACGCUGUACUGUUCUUAAGUCACAAAAUCUAUUCAAGAGUAAAACCCCUCAUGUUUGAGGUCUAUUACAACCUCAUCAACAUCUUUAAAACAUUUCACUUUCAUACCUCACGUACUAUUUUAUUUCAAAACAACACCUCCGUUAGAUUUUCCAUCCAAUGGUCUAUUAAAUGCUGACGUGGCUGUCACAUUUGUGCUUAUGUGGCUGCACAUGGCAACAAAAAUAAAUAAAUUUAUACAUUAACAAUAUUAUAAUAUUAACCCUAAAAAAAAAAAAAAAA